rnacentral:rRNA from 1 species
ACUCCGGGAAACCGGGGCUAAUACCGGAUGGUUGUUUGAACCGCAUGGUUCAAACAUAAAAGGUGGCUUCGGCUACCACUUACAGAUGGACCCGCGGCGCAUUAGCUAGUUGGUGAGGUAACGGCUCACCAAGGCAACGAUGCGUAGCCGACCUGAGAGGGUGAUCGGCCACACUGGGACUGAGACACGGCCCAGACUCCUACGGGAGGCAGCAGUAGGGAAUCUUCCGCAAUGGACGAAAGUCUGACGGAGCAACGCCGCGUGAGUGAUGAAGGUUUUCGGAUCGUAAAGCUCUGUUGUUAGGGAAGAACAAGUACCGUUCGAAUAGGGCGGUACCUUGACGGUACCUAACCAGAAAGCCACGGCUAACUACGUGCCAGCAGCCGCGGUAAUACGUAGGUGGCAAGCGUUGUCCGGAAUUAUUGGGCGUAAAGGGCUCGCAGGCGGUUUCUUAAGUCUGAUGUGAAAGCCCCCGGCUCAACCGGGGAGGGUCAUUGGAAACUGGGGAACUUGAGUGCAGAAGAGGAGAGUGGAAUUCCACGUGUAGCGGU